UCGACGAUAUUUUCCAGCUUGCUGGAAGAAAAAGUGGCGCACGGGUGCGUAACGCGUAUGCAACCUACCUUAAUCAGGGGGAUAGCCCGGAGAAAUCCGGAUUAACACCGCAUAAAAACACAGGAUAGCAUUAUCCAAUGUUCAAAUAUUUAUAGGAUUGAGAUGGGCAUGCGUGUCAUUAGCUAGUUGGCGGGGUAACGGCCCACCAAGGCGACGAUGACUAGGGGAUCUGAGAGGAUGACCCCCCACACUGGUACUGAGACACGGACCAGACUCCUACGGGAGGCAGCAGUAAGGAAUAUUGGUCAAUGGAGGCAACUCUGAACCAGCCAUGCCGCGUGCAGGAAGACUGCCCUAUGGGUUGUAAACUGCUUUUAUCCGGGAAUAAACCUCUUUACGUGUAGAGAGCUGAAUGUACCGGAAGAAUAAGGGAUCGGCUAACUCCGUGCCAGCAGCCGCGGUAAUACGGAGGAUCCAAGCGUUAUCCGGAUUUAUUGGGUUUAAAGGGUGCGUAGGCGGCCUGUUAAGUCAGGGGUGAAAGACGGUAGCUCAACUAUCGCAGUGCCCUUGAUACUGAUGGGCUUGAAUGGACUAGAGGUAGGCGGAAUGAGACAAGUAGCGGUGAAAUGCAUAGAUAUGUCUCAGAACACCGAUUGCGAAGGCAGCUUACUAUGGUCUUAUUGACGCUGAGGCACGAAAGCGUGGGGAUCAAACAGGAUUAGAUACCCUGGUAGUCCACGCCCUAAACGAUGAACACUCGCUGUUGGCGAUACACAGUCAGCGGCUAAGCGAAAGCGUUAAGUGUUCCACCUGGGGAGUACGGUCGCAAGAUUGAAACUCAAAGGAAUUGACGGGGGCCCGCACAAGCGGAGGAGCAUGUGGUUUAAUUCGAUGAUACGCGAGGAACCUUACCCGGGCUUGAAAGUUAGUGAAUGAUUUAGAGAUAGAUCAGUCCGCAAGGACACGAAACUAGGUGCUGCAUGGCUGUCGUCAGCUCGUGCCGUGAGGUGUUGGGUUAAGUCCCGCAACGAGCGCAACCCCUAUGUUUAGUUGCCAGCACGUAAUGGUGGGGACUCUAAACAGACUGCCUGUGCAAACAGAGAGGAAGGAGGGGACGACGUCAAGUCAUCAUGGCCCUUACGUCCGGGGCUACACACGUGCUACAAUGGAUGGUACAGAGGGCAGCUACAUAGCAAUAUGAUGCGAAUCUCACAAAGCCAUUCACAGUUCGGAUUGGGGUCUGCAACUCGACCCCAUGAAGUUGGAUUCGCUAGUAAUCGCGUAUCAGCAAUGACGCGGUGAAUACGUUCCCGGGCCUUGUACACACCGCCCGUCAAGCCAUGGAAGUUGGGGGUACCUAAAGUAUGUAACCGCAA
rnacentral:rRNA from 1 species